CUUCGGCUGAGCCCGUGCGCACUUUCGGACAGAGCUUUAAUUACAGGCGCGUCUCACCGAAGCAGACAUAAGGAGCCGGGAAGCAGCGCAUGACUGCAGACGGAGCUGCAAGUCACAUGCCUCCUUGAGCAGAAGCUGAGUGAUGCUGGCUUGAUUUUCUAAUACUAUAAUAGGUAUCGGAUAACUCUUCCCAGAAUGCAUCUCUGGAACAGUGACUACAUGGGCAAAUGGAAUCUUCUUGUGUCAGAGAUAAGUUGAUCUGUUAUUCCAAUUAUCAGUCUAAUAUUAUAACUUUUGUGUAGAACGACAAUCCAGUGGUGGUGUGGUGACAGAGUUAUGGCAUCCCAACUGCAGAGUUGUCUGACUGUUUCCCAUACUGUGUAUAAUGUGGUUUGAAUGUUCUCCCUGUUUUUGUGUGGGAUUCCUCUGUGCAUUACUUAGUACCACAGUCAAAAACAUGUGAUUUAAGUGGAUCAGUGUGUGUCCUGUAACAGACUGGCGUCCUGACCAAGGUCCUUCAUGUGCUGCAAGCUCAACAUGACUCUGCAUGUGGAACAUGGAUAUGUUACCUGCAACCCAAAUAUACUCCUCUUGGAUUCAUUACACAUUCUAUAAAGCGGUGAGAGCUGGAGGGGGAGGCGUGAUCUUCUCAGUCAGCGGAGGAAGUGUUUCUGUGGCACUGACGUGCCUUCGUGGUCCUGGAGACGUCAUGUGACGCAUGUACUCCGAGGCAAUAUGGGC